UACAGAGGGUGCAAGCGUUGUUCGGAAUUAUUGGGCGUAAAGCGCGUGUAGGCGGCUUUGCAAGUCGGGUGUGAAAUCCCUCAGCUCAACUGAGGAAGUGCGCCCGAAACUGCAGAGCUUGAGUCUCGGAGAGGAUGGUAGAAUUCCCCAAGUAGAGGUGAAAUUCGUAGAUAUGGGGAGGAAUACCGGUGGCGAAGGCGGCCAUCUGGACGAGUACUGACGCUGA
rnacentral:rRNA from 1 species